GAUGAACGCUGGCGGCGUGCCUAAUACAUGCAAGUCGAGCGAACGGACGAGAAGCUUGCUUCUCUGAUGUUAGCGGCGGACGGGUGAGUAACACGUGGAUAACCUACCUAUAAGACUGGGAUAACUUCGGGAAACCGUAGCUAAUACCGGAUAAUAUUUUGAACCGCAUGGUUCAAAAGUGAAAGACGGUCUUGCUGUCACUUAUAGAUGGAUCCGCGCUGCAUUAGCUAGUUGGUAAGGUAACGGCUUACCAAGGCAACGAUGCAUAGCCGACCUGAGAGGGUGAUCGGCCACACUGGAACUGACACACGGUCCAGACGCCUACGGGAGGCAGCAGUAGGGAAUCUUCCGAAAUGGGCGAAAGCCUGACGGAGCAACGCCGCGUGAGUGAUGAAGGUCUUCGGAUCGUAAAACUCUGUUAUUAGGGAAGAACAUAUGUGUAAGUAACUGUGCACAUCUUGACGGUACCUAAUCAGAAAGCCACGGCUAACUACGU
rnacentral:rRNA from 1 species